rnacentral:rRNA from 1 species
CACGUAGGAGGCGAGCGUUGUCCGGAAUCAUUGGGCGUAAAGAGCGCGCAGGCGGCUUGGCAAGUCGGGUGUGAAAUCCCGGGGCUCAACCCCCGGGACUGCAUUCGAUACUGUCAGGCUAGAGGUAGGUAGGGGAGAUCGGAAUUCCUGGUGUAGCGGUGAAAUGCGCAGAUAUCAGGAGGAACACCGGUGGCGAAGGCGGGUUGCUGGGCCGACACUGACGCUGAUGCGCGAAAGCCAGGGGAGCGAACGGG